rnacentral:rRNA from 1 species
UGGCGGCAGGCCUAACACAUGCAAGUCGAGCGGAUGAGAAGAGCUUGCUCUUCGAUUCAGCGGCGGACGGGUGAGUAAUACCUAGGAAUCUGCCUGGUAGUGGGGGACAACGUUUCGAAAGGAACGCUAAUACCGCAUACGUCCUACGGGAGAAAGCAGGGGACCUUCGGGCCUUGCGCUAUCAGAUGAGCCUAGGUCGGAUUAGCUAGUUGGUGAGGUAAUGGCUCACCAAGGCUACGAUCCGUAACUGGUCUGAGAGGAUGAUCAGUCACACUGGAACUGAGACACGGUCCAGACUCCUACGGGAGGCAGCAGUGGGGAAUAUUGGACAAUGGGCGAAAGCCUGAUCCAGCCAUGCCGCGUGUGUGAAGACGGUCUUCGGAUUGUAAAGCACUUUAAGUUGGGAGGAAGGGCAGUAAGCGAAUACCUUGCUGUUUUGACGUUGCCGACAGAAUAAGCACCGGCUAACUCUGUGCCAGCAGCCGCGGUAAUACAGAGGGUGCAAGCGUUAAUCGGAAUUACUGGGCGUAAAGCGCGCGUAGGUGGUUCGUUAAGUUGGAUGUGAAAUCCCCGGGCUCAACCUGGGAACUGCAUCCAAAACUGGCGAGCUAGAGUAGGGCAAAGGGGGGGGGAAUUUCCUGUGUAGCGGGGAAAUGCGUAGAUAUAGGAAGAACACCAGGGGCGAGGCGACACCUGGGCUCAUACUGACACUGGAGUGCGAAGCGUGGGG